AGUUAUAUAUUCAAAAAUGAUUUUAAGUUGCAAACUUAGAGGGGGUAAAUUUACCUAUAACUU
rnacentral:tRNA from 2 species